CCCCACUCCUCUGUGAUGUACCUUCCACCCUAGUCCCCUUUUCUCAAUCCAAUCGAGGAGUUUUCUCCUGGAGGUGGAAGGUGUAUGAUCACAAUCCCCAUGAACAUGCCACACUUCUCCAGGCCCUGGAUGAUGCUUGUAAUGACAUUACGGCAGAGGAAUGCCAAGGCUGGAUCCUGAAUGAGCAGAAAUAUGUAUCAUUUAAAUUGCUUACUUAUAGAUGAGCCUUCAGCGCUUUUGCUCUGCCAGGUAACUUGGAUUUCCUAUUGGCCCGGUGCUGAUGGCUGAAGUGUAAUGCUGGCUCCAGGGAUCAGCCACCAUAACGCCUCAGCAAGACAACCGUCUGGAAUGGACUGGGUGGGGCACUUCACAGGGGUCAUCAGGUUGCAUCAGAACUGUCUUCUGGGUCACUGGCUGAAAGCAUGUCAGUCAAUAAGGGAAGCAGCUGACCAGUUAUUGACAGGAAAGAAGCCACUGAAGGGAUGAAGAGAAUUUCACCCUCCAAGUGAGUGCAAGAAAACGCGUCCUCCACAACGUGUCUCUGCCAAGUCGUCUUUUUUCGCACUGUGGAUCCACAGCGAAGCCAUCAGACCUAUGUGCCGGAGGACAACACAGAUAGAAUGGCUCCACUUGCAGACCCGCAGGCUCCCUAUCAGCCACAGGGGUCGCUGGUGCGCAGUGAACCUCCAUGCAAAGCGCCUUUACAGUUAUCAUUUAAAAAAAAUAAAAUACAUGUUUCAUCUCUUGACAUACAGUAUCGUUCCCUUUUUUGUGGUACAACAAGAAUAAACAGGCACUUGCUGCAUCAAUGUAUUUAAGCCCCAACUAAAGUUGUGCCUUCUUUAAAGAAUUUGCAUUAAAAACUGUUGCCUCCAAUCAGACUUGCCCUUUGCUGAAUGUGUUCGGAGUCAGGCUGGUACCACCAUGUACAGUAUGUAGUGGCUUUCUAGCUGUAGGUGGCACGCUCCGUUGAUGACACGUUAAUAUUCUGGAAUAAGCUAUCGUCUCACAAUGCUUUGUUCAUUCUUUUCAUCCUGAAAGCAGCUUUCUGUUUAUACAAUUCUUUGAAAUCUUAAAUGGGGGCACUUUGUGCACAUUUCUUUCAAGUUCGUUUUUUUGGACUCGCUGAUUCCCACUCUGCUACCUGGCUUGUAUCUCGUUGACCCCCGAGGAGGCUGCACACAAAAGGCUGAUGAGAUUAAUGUGUUUCGGAUGGACCUCAAGCUAAUAUUGACUCCCUGUAUUCAAACUGAAACCAAUGUCAUGUUGUGCCAGAGAGAGAAGGAAUCUGAGCUGCAAAUCUCCCUCCCAACCAGAAAGGGCACUGCGUAAGGUGGGUGGUACGCUUUCCCAUAGAUGGGCUUACUUGACGGUAAGUGGCAACCGGAAGUUGGCCAUUUUGGGGAGAGUGGGUAGCUGCUAGUUUACUAAACAACUCCAUUGUGGUCAGCUGCGGGGCAUGCAGUUAGACCGUGGAGCCAGGCUGAUCACAGGGAGGAGUCUGGCAGUACAAAUGGGACACAGCUACGUGAGUACGGCCCCUUUACGCUGAAUGACUAACAAGCAGGAGCGCUGUUUUGUUUUGUGUUUAUUGUGUUUUGGCAGAUGAGUAGGAGACAGGGAGCUGCAACCAGGGAGCCAGCACUAACCUCACGGCACUGCACAGCACCACACAGCACAGCGAGCACCACAGGGAAGAAAGAGCACUCUUCCAUGCACCCACGUGGACUAUUGUGUUUGUUAUUAUUUUGUGACUACAAUCCUGCC